GAUGAAGAACGCAGCGAAAUGCGAUAAGUAAUGUGAAUUGCAGAAUUCCGUGAAUCAUCGAGUCUUUGAACGCACAUUGCGCCCCCUGGUAUUCCGGGGGGCAUGCCUGUCCGAGCGUCAUUGCUGCCCAUCAAGCACGGCUUGCGUGUUGGGUCCCGUCCCCCUCUCCCGGGGGACGGACCCGAAAGGCAGCGGCGGCACCGCGUCCGGUCCUCGAGCGUAUGGGGCUUUGUCACCCGCUCUUGUAGGCCCGGCCGGCGCUUGCCGACACCCAACCAUUUUUUUCAGGUUGACCUCGGAUCAGGUAGGGAUACCCGCUGAACUUAAGCAUAUCAAUAAGCGGAGGA
rnacentral:misc_RNA from 1 species